AACAAAGAAACUGUAGUUCAAGUACAAGACCAAUGCAGAAAAUAUCACAAAGUUCUGCAGUUGCAAGACCAAUGCAAAUAGAAACACAAAGCGACAGUGAUAUGAAGAAGAAAUUUGAAUCAAGCAAGAGGAAGUUCGAGCAAAGGUUAGCAGAUCAAAGGGAAGCCAAGAGAAGGAUUAUAACGAUAGACUUUCAUCAAACGCCUAAACUUCUUAUGACCCUCCUUCUUCCAAGCAUUGUUGGACUAGGAAAA
rnacentral:misc_RNA from 1 species